CCCCCGCCCUGGGACUGGGAACGCCGGAGCGCCGGGAUCGGCUGGCGGCCGCACGCUCCGUGGGAUGCAGGUUGUUCUCCCGGCCCUGAGGAGGAGGACGGGCGCUGGGCGCCGCCGGCCACUCCCUGGCGCUGGAGCGAGGAGGAGGCUGCUCCCGGCGACGGAUGGAGCCCGGAAUCAGGAAGGCUGCUGGGAUGGUCCCUGGCGCAGGGGCUGCCGCCA